rnacentral:rRNA from 1 species
GCCAGCAGCCAUAUCACCCUGCAACUCACAACCGGCAACCCACUGAAGCUCAGCAGGUGUGAGCCUGGUCAGUACCUGGAUGGGAGACCUCCGGGGAAAAACUAAGGCUGCUGCUGGAA